rnacentral:rRNA from 1 species
GAUGAACGCUGGCGGCGUGCCUAAUACAUGCAAGUCGAGCGAACAGACGAGGAGCUUGCUCCUUCGACGUUAGCGGCGGACGGGUGAGUAACACGUAGGUAACCUACCUAUAAGACUGGGAUAACUUCGGGAAACCGGAUCUAAUACCGGAUAAUAUUUCGAACCGCAUGGUUCGAUAGUGAAAGAUGGCUUUGCUAUCACUUAUAGAUGGACCUGCGCCGUAUUAGCUAGUUGGUAAGGUAACGGCUUACCAAGGCAACGAUACGUAGCCGACCUGAGAGGGUGAUCGGCCACACUGGAACUGAGACACGGUCCAGACUCCUACGGGAGGCAGCAGUAGGGAAUCUUCCGCAAUGGGCGAAAGCCUGACGGAGCAACGCCGCGUGAGUGAUGAAGGUCUUCGGAUCGUAAAACUCUGUUAUUAGGGAAGAACAGACGUGUAAGAAAAUGUGCACGUCUUGACGGUACCUAAUCAGAAAGCCACGGCUAACUACGUG